UACGGGGGGGGCAAGCGUUGUUCGGAAUCACUGGGCGUAAAGCGCACGUAGGCGGAUCUUUAAGUCAGGGGUGAAAUCCCGAGGCUCAACCUCGGAACUGCCUUUGAUACUGGGGAUCUCGAGUCCGGGAGAGGUGAGUGGAACUGCGAGUGUAGAGGUGAAAUUCGUAGAUAUUCGGAGGAACACCAGUGGCGAAGGCGGCUCACUGGCCCGGUACUGACGCUGAGGUGCGAAAGCGUGGGGAGCAAACAGG
rnacentral:rRNA from 1 species